UGGGCGUUAAGUUGCAGGGUAUAGACCCGAAACCCGGUGAUCUAGCCAUGGGCAGGUUGAAGGUUGGGUAACACUAACUGGAGGACCGAACCGACUAAUGUUGAAAAAUUAGCGGAUGACCUGUGGCUGGGGGUGAAAGGCCAAUCAAACCGGGAGAUAGCUGGUUCUCCCCGAAAGCUAUUUAGGUAGCGCCUCGUGAAUUCAUCUCCGGGGGUAGAGCACUGUUUCGGCUAGGGGGCCAUCCCGGCUUACCAACCCGAUGCAAACUGCGAAUACCGGAGAAUGUUAUCACGGGAGACACACGGCGGGUGCUAACGUCCGUCGUGAAGAGGGAAACAACCCAGACCGCCAGCUAAGGUCCCAAAGUCAUGGUUAAGUGGGAAACGAUGUGGGAAGGCCCAGACAGCCAGGAUGUUGGCUUAGAAGCAGCCAUCAUUUAAAGAAAGCGUAAUAGCUCACUGGUCGAGUCGGCCUGCGCGGAAGAUGUAACGGGGCUAAACCAUGCACCGAAGCUGCGGCAGCGAACGUAUCACUUAAAGUGAUUCAGCGGGUUACGAUUGACGGAGCGAAGCGACGUCAAAGCGUAUACAAAGUCGAGUCGGUUUAAGGAUACGUUCGUUGGGUAGGGGAGCGUUCUGUAAGCCUGCGAAGGUGGCCUGUGAGGGUUGCUGGAGGUAUCAGAAGUGCGAAUGCUGACAUAAGUAACGAUAAAGCGGGUGAAAAGCCCGCUCGCCGGAAGACCAAGGGUUCCUGUCCAACGUUAAUCGGGGCAGGGUGAGUCGACCCCUAAGGCGAGGCCGAAAGGCGUAGUCGAUGGGAAACGGGUUAAUAUUCCCGUACUUGGUGUUACUGCGAAGGGGGGACGGAGAAGGCUAUGUUGGCCGGGCGACGGUUGUCCCGGUUUAAGCGUGUAGGUGUGUGUUCCAGGUAAAUCCGGUUCACUUUAACACUGAGGCGUGACGACGAGGCACUACGGUGCUGAAGCAACAAAUGCCCUGCUUCCAGGAA
rnacentral:rRNA from 1 species